GUAGUGGCGAGCGAAGAGGGAAGAGCCCAGCGCCGAAUCCCCGUCCGACUGGCGGGCGCGGGAAAUGUGGCGUACGGAAGACCGCUAGCCCGGUGUCGGCCGGGGGCCUGAGUCCUUCUGAUCGAGGCUCAGCCCGUGGACGGGCUGAGGAAGAUCUGAAGA